UCUGCCAGGGCCCGUGCUUACAGUUCAGUGACAACAAAUAUAGAAACAUAUUAGGCUGGAAGUAUUUGAAUGUCCUGGCAAGUUACACUGUCUAUGUGUGAGAAUGGUUGUUAAAGAGGAGCGAGACACAGACGGUGCAAGCAGGUCUUGUUGCCUUCCUGCCGCACCUGGUGAGCAUCGCCAUGCUGCCCCGUGUCACCCGGGAGGGGCCCUGGCGGCCGACUGCUCCCGACGCUCGUGAGCUGACAGACGGUGGAAAGAGCGCAAACCAGAGUGGGACAGGUGGGAUGGAGAGGCGUCCAAGGAGGAUGCAGCCAGCGGAUCAGGGGAGCAGGAAGGCCUCCAAGGCUCUCCUUCAGGAGCUCUGAGCGGAUGCUGGAGAAGCAGGCAUGACAGCCCCGUGAAGGCAGGAGCCUCAGAAGGAGGUCUGGGAUACAGGCAGUGCAUGAAAAGCUGGGGGGCGGAUGAGCCCUGCCAACGCCGAACAGAGUAAACAUGGAGGUACCGAGCAUCCACCUGCGCUCUGUGGGGAGUCAGAGGCGGGGGAGGGUAGAUCUGAGGCUAAUUUUCUCCCUGGCAUCUGUGGCCAGUAGGCAUCUGGCAGUGGCCGCAGUCAGCGAGACACAAAUCGCCCGGUAACUUCAGCCAGCGGAAACAACAACAACAUCGACAUCGACAUCAGCAUCAGCAGCGGUAGUUCUGGCCCGGACCUCCGCAAGACACCUGAACUAAUAUUUUAAAAUAAAGAAUAGUGUCAAACACCU